CUAACAUGAAUUUCUUCAGGAGGUCACUCCUUGAGGCUCUGUCCAGGUGGCAUAGGGGAGCAUAGGGCUCUGCCCAAUGAUGUAUAGUCCCUUCUCACAGUGUUGGAAAUAAGGCUGGACCUUCUGUCUGCACCUGCAUAAUCAUACAACUUAACAGAGUCCUAUGAACAAUGACUGGGGAGACAAACCAAGCAGGAAACAACC
rfam:Tupaia chinensis contig31354, whole genome shotgun sequence.